rnacentral:lncRNA from 1 species
AACAUAAGGGCUAGAGGCACACCUCAUCUGAAAGAGGAGAAGCUAAUCAUGUUACUUCAUGAGUACAUGAAAAAAGUAGGAUGGGCUAUGACAAAAUCAAAAGGAGUGCUACACUUUUUGCUCAAUGCAGUUGGGACUCUUUUCCCUUCCCCAAUUACUUGAGCCUUGAUCAAGUGGAUCGCACCAUGUACACCACACCCAGGGGAGUACUCAGUUUUCUUUGUUCUUUUAUGUUUUUUACACAUUGAGGACAAUGCAUGAUUUAGGUGUGGG